AUUAAGGACAUUGUUCACUGUAAAAAUUUCCCACUAGCUAGCUAGGCUACCUUUAAUGCUGGUAUGAGUAAACCUGUAUCAGUGAUUCCAGACCUGCACUGGGUACAGCUCCAGUGAUUUCAGCAGGGCUUUGCCCAUUUAACCAAACUGUGAACACAUCUUCUCCAGCUGCAUGUCCUGGAAGCAGAUACUGGAUGAAUUUUCAUUUUGCACUACAAAUGGACCUGCCACAGCAAUCCAGUGAGACUGCAAACUCAAGCAGCACUAUAGGAAAAGUACAGCUCCUCAUCUGUUUGCUGAAUUUUACCGAGAGUUGUAUGCAGUUGAGAUCGCCAUAUCCUCCUACUUGCUAAUUAACAGCAAAAAUGCAAAGGAAGUGGAGGACGAAGACUGUUUUGCAUUCAGUAGCAGAAAAGAAAUGUUUGAAGAUAACCAAGCCCAAAGGAUGACAGAGGAAAGGGGAGAAAAGCAAAGAGAAAGGACAGAGCAGAAAUUGCAAACGGAAGAACAGUUUGAAGAAGAGGGCUGAAAUCCAGGAGGCCCCGAGAAGCACCUCAAAAGACAGCUAGUUUCACUGAGUCUUGAGCAGUAGAAUUCAGGAGGAAAAAUGAGAAGAAAUUCAGGGAAGCGAGGAGAGGAUACACAUGGAAAAUGAAAAGAAAGGGGCUAGAUAGCAACUUAAACAAAAUCUGUAGAGAAUAAACUAGCAAGGAAAACAGCCUGGAAAUAAGAAAGAGGAUAGAGCAUAUGGGAGCUGGGUGGGCAGAGAGCUGGAA